UACGUAGGGGGCAAGCGUUGUCCGGAUUUAUUGGGCGUAAAGAGCGUGUAGGCGGUCAGGUAGGUCCGUUGUGAAAACUCGAGGCUCAACCUCGAGACGCCGAUGGAAACCAUCUGACUAGAGUCCGGAAGAGGAAAGUGGAAUUCCCGGUGUAGCGGUGAAAUGCGCAGAUAUCGGGAAGAACACCAGUGGCGAAGGCGGCUCACUGGUCCGGUACUGACGCUGAGGUGCGAAAGCGUGGGGAGCAAACAGG
rnacentral:rRNA from 1 species